rnacentral:rRNA from 1 species
UACGUAGGGUGCAAGCGUUGUCCGGAAUUAUUGGGCGUAAAGGGCUCGUAGGCGGUCUGUCGCGUCUGGUGUGAAAAUCCAGGGCUUAACCCUGGACCUGCAUCGGGUACGGGCAGACUAGAGUGCGGUAGGGGAGAUCGGAAUUCCUGGUGUAGCGGUGAAAUGCGCAGAUAUCAGGAGGAACACCGGUGGCGAAGGCGGAUCUCUGGGCCGUAACUGACGCUGAGGAGCGAAAGCAUGGGGAGCGAACAGG